rnacentral:rRNA from 1 species
CCGCAACGAGCGCAACCCUUAUCCUUUGUUGCCAGCGGUCCGGCCGGGAACUCAAAGGAGACUGCCAGUGAUAAACUGGAGGAAGGUGGGGAUGACGUCAAGUCAUCAUGGCCCUUACGACCAGGGCUACACACGUGCUACAAUGGCAUAUACAAAGAGAAGCGACCUCGCGAGAGCAAGCGGACCUCAUAAAGUAUGUCGUAGUCCGGAUUGGAGUCUGCAACUCGACUCCAUGAAGUCGGAAUCGCUAGUAAUCGUAGAUCAGAAUGCUACGGUGAAUACGUUCCCGGGCCUUGUACACACCG